UCACUCUUUCUCGAGCGCCUCUCUUCGCCCUCUCUCAAAACAGUGAACCCUAUCAUCUCUCUGUCCGAUUUCGAUCUCCUCUCUCUCAAAUCAAACCCUAUCAUCUCUCUCACAUUAAAUCCUCUCUCUCCUGUCAUUUCAAUCUCUCGCUCUCUCGGUGAUGUACCUGUUAAAUUGGGAGAAUGAUGAAGCAUUGAAGCAAACCUGCAAGCUGCAGCAUCUAGGAUGGCUUGUGUUCAAUCUACUUUUAUUUUCUUUUGAACUUGUAAUAACUUGGAGUUUGGUUGAAUUGUUCUCUAUUUUUAUUUAGGUCAGUAACCAUUAACUAAGUUUGGACUAUA